AGUGCACCAGCUCCAGGUGGUAUGCCUCCCAACAACUUUAAUCCCAGCAUGCCUCCUCACAACCGCCAAGGCGAUUAUCCAGGAGGACCACCACCUCCGAACAAUUUUAACAGACCACCACCGCCACCACCGCACAACUACAGCGGACCACCACCACCACCACCACACAACUUCAGCGGACCACCACCACCACCACCACACAACUUCAGCGGACCACCACCACCACCACCGCACAACUUCAACGGACCACCACCACCACCACCGCACAACUUCAACGGACCACCACCACCACCGUACAACUUCAACGGGCCACCACCUCCUCCACCAAACAACUUCAACGGACCACCACCUCCUCCACCGAACAACUUCAACGGACCACCACCACGCAACUAUGCUUCAGCAUCACCAAAUCACGGAGGAGGAGGAGGAGGAGCACCCCACAACUAUGGGGGGCCACAGGAAAACAACUAUUGGGGAGCACAGCAGCCAAACAACUAUGGUGGAC
rnacentral:lncRNA from 1 species